rnacentral:rRNA from 1 species
UAGGGAAUAUUGCUCAAUGGGCGAAAGCCUGAAGCAGCAACGCCGCGUGGAGGAUGACACUUUUCGGAGCGUAAACUCCUUUUCUUAGGGAAGAACAAUGACGGUACCUAAGGAAUAAGCACCGGCUAACUCCGUGCCAGCAGCCGCGGUAAUACGGAGGGUGCAAGCGUUACUCGGAAUCACUGGGCGUAAAGGACGCGUAGGCGGAUUAUCAAGUCUUUUGUGAAAUCUAAUGGCUUAACCAUUAAACUGCUUGAGAAACUGAUAAUCUAGAGUGAGGGAGAGGCAGAUGGAAUUGGUGGUGUAGGGGUAAAAUCCGUAGAGAUCACCAAGAAUACCCAUUGCGAAGGCGAUCUGCUAGAACUCAACUGACGCUAAUGCGUGAAAGCGUGGGGAGCAAACAGGA